UUUCUUUGGCAGAAAAUAUAUUGAGACUGGACUGAUACAGGAAAGAUUAGCCUGAAUCCUGUGUAAAGAUGACAUAGCCAUUCAUGAAGCUUUCCAUAAUUUU